CUGUUCUGUGUAUGGCACUGGUAGAAUUCACUGUGAAAACACUCGAUCAGUGAAUUACAAAGGGCCAUAAACGGAG
ensembl:miRNA MIR183 microRNA 183